AUUCUGGCUGACGGGUGGACACAGGAAUGAGACUGACACAGAGGGGGGCCCACCUGGAGGAGCCUGCCGAAUAUGGUGUAACCGUGGGCCUCUGCUGCCGCUGUGACAUUCAGCUGAAAUGUAAACACCACCGCAGGCCUCUGCUUUUGUUCCUGAUGUCAUAUGGGAUCCAUAUCAAUUCAGAGGGGACAGACAGAGCACCUCUCGGACACUGAUGCGUAGUCGAUAUCCAGAAAGCGUGACCACCUCCUUCGCAGACUGGAGGUCGGACUGGAGGAGCUGCUUACAGCCAAUUAUAUGGUACCUCAAUAGGUCGUCAAGGCUACUACUGUUUAUCCAGGGCUCGGCCUGCCAAUACACAAAACCUUGGGAACCGAACGUUUUAAAGUAACAGGCACAUCAUUUCCAACCAAUUAUAAUGCUAUUUGUUAAUACUUAGUUAAUAUAUAGUGCAGAUCCACGAUCUCAGACCUCUGACACUAGAUUUAAAAUCUAAUGAGGAAGAUUAAAUCAAUUUUAAAUACUUGUUUACUUUUAACAGUAUAUUUCUAACGAAAAAUCCAUUUAAAUGAGUAAUGCGUCAAGAAAAUACCGUACGACAAGAAGAUACCGUAAAGUUUUGAAUAUAAUCCACGUGUGGGACAAAUAAUGUGAAAGGGCCUUUUUGCUUUAAAUCGCCGAUCUUCAUAUCCUGUGAAAAAUAAGAAUGAAUAAAUAAGCAUAUUCAUGA